GCUUGAUGGCUCAGUUGGUAAAGCAUGAGACUCUCAAUCUCAGGGUCGUCUGUUCAAGCCCUGUGUUGUGCA